rnacentral:rRNA from 1 species
AUUGAACGCUGGCGGCAGGCUUAACACAUGCAAGUCGAGCGGGGUGAUGGUGCUUGCACUAUCACUUAGCGGCGGACGGGUGAGUAAUGCUUAGGAAUCUGCCUAUUAGUGGGGGACAACAUCUCGAAAGGGAUGCUAAUACCGCAUACGUCCUACGGGAGAAAGCAGAGGAUCACUUGUGACCUUGCGCUAAUAGAUGAGCCUAAGUCGGAUUAGCUAGUUGGUGGGGUAAAGGCCUACCAAGGCGACGAUCUGUAGCGGGUCUGAGAGGAUGAUCCGCCACACUGGGACUGAGACACGGCCCAGACUCCUACGGGAGGCAGCAGUGGGGAAUAUUGGACAAUGGGGGGAACCCUGAUCCAGCCAUGCCGCGUGUGUAGAGAAGGCCUUAUGGUUGUAAAGCACUUUAAGCGAGGAGGAGGCUCUUUUGGUUAAUACCCAAGAUGAGUGGACGUUACUCGCAGAAUAAGCACCGGCUAACUCUGUGCCAGCCGCCGCAGUAA